UGAAGAAUUUGUCCAACGGCGGGGGAUAGCCGGCCCAACGGCCGGGUAAUACCGCGUACGACCCUCGGGGGGCAUCCCCUGAAGAUGAAAGCCGCAAGGCGCCGAUGGAGAACUUCGCGGCCUAUCAGCUAGUUGGUGAGGUAAUGGCUCACCAAGGCGACGACGGGUAGCCGGCCUGAGAGGGCGAUCGGCCACACUGGGACUGAGACACGGCCCAGACUCCUACGGGAGGCAG
rnacentral:rRNA from 1 species